rnacentral:rRNA from 1 species
GUCGAGGGGCAGCGGGAUUUUAGCUUGCUAAGUUUGCUGGCGACCGGCGCACGGGUGAGUAACACGUAUCCAACCUUCCGUUUACUCGGGGAUAGCCUUUCGAAAGAAAGAUUAAUACCCGAUGGUAUGGUAAGAUCACAUGGUAUUUACAUUAAAGAUUCAUCGGUAAAGGAUGGGGAUGCGUUCCAUUAGGUAGUUGGCGGGGUAACGGCCCACCAAGCCUACGAUGGAUAGGGGUUCUGAGAGGAAGGUCCCCCACAUUGGAACUGAGACACGGUCCAAACUCCUACGGGAGGCAGCAGUGAGGAAUAUUGGUCAAUGGGCGAGAGCCUGAACCAGCCAAGUAGCGUGAAGGAUGACUGCCCUAUGGGUUGUAAACUUCUUUUAUAAGGGAAUAAAGGGCUCCACGUGUGGUGUUUUGCAUGUACCUUAUGAAUAAGCAUCGGCUAACUCCGUGCCAGCAGCCGCGGUAAUACGGAGGAUGCGAGCGUUAUCCGGAUUUAUUGGGUUUAAAGGGAGCGCAGACGGGCGUUUAAGUCAGUUGUGAAAUGUUGCGGCUCAACCGUAGAAUUGCAGUUGAAACUGGAGGUCUUGAGUGCGGCAGAGGCAGGCGGAAUUCGUGUUGAGCG